rnacentral:rRNA from 1 species
ACGAACGCUGGCGGCGUGCUUAACACAUGCAAGUCGAACGGAAAGGCCCUGCUUUUGUGGGGUGCUCGAGUGGCGAACGGGUGAGUAACACGUGAGUAACCUGCCCUCGACUUUGGGAUAACUUCAGGAAACUGGGGCUAAUACCGGAUAGGAGCUCCUGCUGCAUGGUGGGGGUUGGAAAGUUUCGGCGGUUGGGGAUGGACUCGCGGCUUAUCAGCUUGUUGGUGGGGUAGUGGCUUACCAAGGCUUUGACGGGUAGCCGGCCUGAGAGGGUGACCGGCCACAUUGGGACUGAGAUACGGCCCAGACUCCUACGGGAGGCAGCAGUGGGGAAUAUUGCACAAUGGGCGGAAGCCUGAUGCAGCAACGCCGCGUGCGGGAUGACGGCCUUCGGGUUGUAAACCGCUUUCGCCUGUGACGAAGCGUGAGUGACGGUAAUGGGUAAAGAAGCACCGGCUAACUACGU